rnacentral:rRNA from 1 species
CCUACGGGCGGCAGCAGUCGAGAAUCAUUCACAAUGGGGGAAACCCUGAUGAUGCGACGCCGCGUGGGGGAAUGAAGGUCUUCGGAUUGUAAACCCCUGUCAUGUGGGAGCAAAUUAAAAAGAUAGUACCACAAGAGGAAGCGACGGCUAACUCUGUGCCAGCAGCCGCGGUAAUACAGAGGUCUCAAGCGUUGUUCGGAAUCACUGGGCGUAAAGCGUGCGUAGGCUGUUUCGUAAGUCGUGUGUGAAAGGGGCGGGCUCAACCCGCGGACGGCACAUGAUACUGCGAGACUAGAGUAAUGGAGGGGGAACCGGAAUUCUCGGUGUAGCAGUGAAAUGCGUAGAUAUCGAGAGGAACACUCGUGGCGAAGGCGGGUUCCUGGACAUUAACUGACGCUGAGGCACGAAGGCCAGGGGAGCGAAAGGGAUUAGAUACCCGGGUAGUC